UACGGAGGGUGCAAGCGUUAUCCGGAUUCACUGGGUUUAAAGGGAGCGCAGGCGGAUUGGUAAGUCAGUGGUGAAAGCCUCAAGCUUAACUUGGGAAUUGCCGUUGAUACUAUCAGUCUUGAAUAUUGUUGAGGUUUGCGGAAUGGGUCAUGUAGCGGUGAAAUGCAUAGAUAUGACCCGGAACACCUAUUGCGAAGGCAGCAGGCUAAACAAAGAUUGACGCUGAGGCUCGAAAGCGUGGGGAUCAAACAGG
rnacentral:rRNA from 1 species